rnacentral:miRNA from 1 species
AUAAUCACUUUAUCCACGGAG